rnacentral:rRNA from 1 species
UACGGAGGAUGCAAGCGUUAUCCGGAAUGAUUGGGCGUAAAGCGUCUGUAGGUGGUUUGAUAAGUCCACUGUCAAAGAUCAGGGCUUAACCCUGAGCAGGCAGUAGAAACUAUGAGGCUUGAGUACGGUAGGGGCAGAGGGAAUUCCCGGUGUAGCGGUGAAAUGCGUAGAGAUCGGGAAGAACACCAAUGGCGAAAGCACUCUGCUGGGCCGAAACUGACACUGAGAGACGAAAGCUAGGGGAGCAAAUGGG